ACUACGGUAGUUCUGAAAAAAAUAAAAAUCGAUCCACAGCUGAUAAAGUUCCUGUUGCUGUUCUACCGUCGCUGUCGCCGUCUCCACACACCUCUAAUUCACAAGAAAAAAUUCAAACAAAUAGAAAUGAAAAAUAAAGUAUAUCAGGCAGACUGAAUGAAUCAAUAAUUAGCUCCUUCCACGACUUC
rnacentral:ribozyme from 1 species